GAACGACUCUCGGCAACGGAUAUCUCGGCUCUUGCAUCGAUGAAGAACGUAGCGAAAUGCGAUACUUGGUGUGAAUUGCAGAAUCCCGUGAACCAUCGAGUCUUUGAACGCAAGUUGCGCCCGAAGCCAUUAGGCCGAGGGCACGCCUGCCUGGGUGUCACA
rnacentral:rRNA from 2 species